AACGAACGCUGGCGGCGUGCCUAACACAUGCAAGUCGAACGCGAAAGGGGGCAACCCCGGUAGCGUGGCAGACGGGUGAGUAACACGUGGGUAACCUACCCGGAGGUGGGGAGUAACCUUCGAAGGAGGGCUAAUACCGCAUGACACCGCGGGGACGUUCGGUCCUUGCGAUCAAAGCUGGCCUCUGUUUACAAGCUAGCGCCACCGGAUGGGCCCGCGCCCCAUUAGCUAGUUGGUGAGGUAACGGCUCACCAAGGCGACGAUGGGUAGCCGGCCUGAGAGGGCGAUCGGCCACACUGGAACUGCGACACGGUCCAGACUCCUACGGGAGGCAGCAGUGAGGAAUCUUGCGCAAUGGGCGAAAGCCUGACGCAGCGACGCCGCGUGGAGGAUGAAGGUCUCGGA
rnacentral:rRNA from 1 species